GGCCUGAUUCCACGGGCGCUUUUUCUCGGCGAAAUAUUUCGCCUGUUUCUUUUGAAUUGCGACCACUCGAAUAAAUUAUUUCUACUUGAUUGCCCACAAUUCAAAUAAACAGGCGAAAUAUUUCGCCGAGAAAAAGCGCUCGUGGAGUCAGGCC